rnacentral:lncRNA from 1 species
AGGUGAGGGCCUUUCCUUACCAAGCUCACUCUGGAAAUAUAGCUCAAGGCUUGCAGCAUAUUUGUCCAGCAUGUAUAAGGCCCUAUUCUUCAUGCCCAGUACUGAACAAAAAAAAAGAUAUUUUUAGGUUUAUUGGUUAUAUUUAUUAGUAAAUCAUUAAUAACCCUAUUUCUCAGAAGCCAAUAAGAAAAAACUAUGUCUGACUAUGGAAAGGAUAGGGUGCUGAUAAAGCAAACGGCUUCUGAAUUAAGUAAGGUCUUGUUACUACCUGUGCUUUUCUUUUUAAGAGAGCAUCGUGUGGAUGACUUGGGACGUCAGUGUAAGAGUGUGAAUUUUCAAGAAGGUACUGUUAGCCUGUGUGGCACCACCUGAGUAUCCUGAUUGUUUGCUUGGUAUUCACAUGGCUUUUGCCCCUCAGCACAAUGCAGUGGGUAACUGGGGAAUAUUUUCAAAGGUAAAAGAAAUAUACAUUAACCUACUUAAACAAACCUAUACCUAUCUGUUAUAUGGUGUUUAUGAUUGGCAAGACUAAAGCCAUUGCUAAAGAUCACUUGUGUUUUUCAAAGAGGGUGUCUCAAAACCCUUGUAUUCCCUGCCAUGCUUCUGGUAACUCUAGGACAGGGUCUGUCUCAAGCAGUUUUUGUGGUUGUUUUGAAACAGUGUCUCAGUAUGUAGCUCAGGCUGACCUUGAAAAUGAUGUGCUUGAGAGCAAGGCUGUCUUAUAAAUUGAGCUCCUCUGCCUCAGUACUCAUGUCACAGUUGUACUACACCUGGCUUCCAGCAGUUCCCAGGACGUUAAUCACAAUAGUAGGCAGUCUGUUAUUUUGUAAAUGUGAAUUUUCAUCUUUUAAAUUAUUUUGUGGUGUAUCCAUGGGUGUAUGUGUACAGAUGUGGGUGUACUCAGAGGUCAGAGAUCUACAUCAGAUGUUUGCCUUGUUUGUUCUCCACCUUACCUUCUUAUAUUACUAUUAUUACAUCUCAAAUGCUAUCCCACUUUCCGAUUACCCCCUCCACCAAUCCCCUAUCCCAUGAUAUCCCACUUCCCAGUUACCCCUGUCACCCCCCCAACCCCCCAUUCCACGUCUGCCCUCCCUUUUGCCUGUAUGAGAGUGUUCCUCCACCCUCCCACACUCUCCCGUUCCGCUGCUCCAGCAUCCCCCUACUCUGCUGCAUCAAACCUCUCCAGGACCAAGGGCCUCCCCUACUGUUACUGUCCAGCAAGGCCAUCCUCUGCUACAUAUCUCUGGAGCCAAAGAUUCCUUUAGGUACACUCCUUGGUUGGUGGUCUAGUCUCUAGGAGAACUGAGUGGUCAGGCCAGCCUAUGCUGUUCUUCCAAUGGAGUUGACCUCCACUCUUCCAGUCCUGCCAGCUCCCCCACCAGGUUCCCUGAGCUCAGCCUGAUGGUUGACGGAUGCAUCCACAUCUGCAUCAGUCAGUUGCUGGAUGGACCCUCCCAGGAACUGCCACACUUGGUUCCAGUCCACAAGCGCCUCUCAACCACUGCAACAGUGUUGGGUUUGGUGUCUGCAGACAUGAUGUAUCCCCAGAUGGGGCUGUUCCCCAGUUGGUCUUUCCUUCAGUCUCUGUUCCAUUUUUUUGUCCCUGUUCUUCUUUUGGACAGGAACAUUUAUAGGUAAAAAAACUUUGAGAUGGAUGGGUGGCCCUAUCACCUUACCAUCUGAGUCAGAGUCCCUCACUGACCUACUCUCGCCAUCUCGGGUUACUGGUCAGCACCACCACACCUGAGUUUCACAUGGACACAGGGGACCUGAACUCAGACCUAAGUGCUUGCACAGAGACACUUCACCAGUCUUCACAACCCACAACCCAGUUCUUUAGAGCUUUUUUUUUUUUUGGCUUAUUUAGAAGUUCCCAAUAUGGUGAGUAGGAAUAUUUUACUUUAAUAAAUUGUUGUUUGAUUACUGGUUGUGGCACUCAACCAUGUGAAAGAAUGCAAGCUGGUACUUGCUUAGGGACUUCAUAAGAUUAUACAAAGCCAAGUAUAAUUUUACUAAAUACUUGCAUAUAAAAUCAUUUUAAUAUUUCAAUAAAUGUCUUGAUAAAAUGCAAGUGGUAAAAACUCAUUUGAUUUUCUUUUAAAUGUAAAGGUAGUCAAGUUUAAAGAGCUUUUCAUUGCGUGGGAUUGUAAUUUCUAAGUACAUAUAAUUGGGGGUAGGGUGGAGUGCAGUUAACAGCACUCCCUGCUUUUGCAGAGGACCUGGGUUCAGUUCCUAGCACCCACGUGGUGGCUCACAACUAACUGUAACUCCCGUUCCAGCGGUUCCGAAGCCCUCUCUGAACCUUUACAAGCACUAAGUAUAUACUUAUGUGCAGGCAAGACACUGAUAUACAUACAAAUCAAUUAAUUUCACUUAAAACUUGGAUCAAUAUAUUGAAGUAGUCUUACCUUAAAAUCCUUGUAAUUAGGUACUUAGUCAACUUCCUCAGCCUAUGAUACAUUUCCAAGAUUCCUACAGCUACCAGCACUGUGAGGCUGCAGGAAACUAACCAUGUAUGUUGGAAUUGCCACUCUGAAAUUAGGCAGCAUUCAUACUUGACUGGAAGUCAAGAGAGGCUCUGGAUAGUAACUAAGAAUUAGAAAGGUGUUCCCCAGAUAAGACGAGGGUCAGAAGAGCGAGGGACUGCUUCUGUGAAAGGAUCCCGAUGAAGGAGACCAGUACUCUUGGUGUGACUGAAAAGAAAAGUCAGAAGUGAUUCCUAUAAAUACUACAGACCAUUUGUAAACCUCCUUUCUCCUGAGAUAGAAACUUACACAUGCUUUCUAUGGCUUUCCCUGAAGAAAGCCAUACCAUGCUUCUCCCUUGCCACCACACACACAUAUACACAUGCACACAGCUUGUCCAUUCCUGUGUUAUUUACAUCAUCCACACUGAGUAACAACAUGAGGAAUGGAUGUCCUUGGAUUUAUAUGGCUGUGGGUAUAACUUUGAAGUUGUGUCAGGUAUGGUCUGUACUGAAUACACAAUUAGUUCAAGGUGAGAAAUUGUGCUUUGCCCUCUAAAGCCACUUCCAUGCAAAGAUACAAAUGAUUUUCAUUUUUGAGAUAGGUCUUGUCAUAUAGCUCAGGCUGGUCUUCAACUCAUGAUUCUGCUGCCUAAGCCUCCUGAGUACAGAGAUAACAGUGUAUAUCACCAACCCUGGCAUUAACAUAACUUGUAAUUAAUAUAUUCUCAGACAGUUUAAUUUAUGUACACAACAUACACUGACUGCCCUCAUUCCCGCCCAUUUCUGAUCUGCCUGCCACUCCUGCUCAACCCCCUUACCCCCAAAAGUCUAACGUAACUUUUUUAAUUACAGGGAAGUAAAAUUAAACAUUUUAAAUGUUUAUUUUGUGUAUGUGACAUGCUGCACUUUGGGAGUCUGCUCUCAGCACAAAGGUCUAGGGAAUCAAACUCCAGGCUAUCCUUGGUGGAAGGGCCUUUUGCCAUUGAGCCAUCUUGCUGGUCCCAAAAGAAAGACUUUUACUAGCACAAAUUUCAUAUAGUGUUGAAAU